AGACGAGGAUGGCGGUUUGUUUCCUCUCUCCCUGAUGCCGUAAUAGCUUUCCAGUUUGAAAACCGAACCGUUACAACCCCCCACCAGUAGGGGGCCGCUGCUCUGAGCAGACCGAUUCCUCCGUUAGAAGAAGAGAAAGGACCAGGACGGACCACGCGGCUCAGCUCACGGAGAGAUGAAUCCGGAUGGAGACAUUUGAGGAGAAGAUGGAUGAGCUGCUCAUGCUCUACAGGAGCUCCAUGUCACCUCCCUCUGCUCCAAUCACAGCGUGCCAUUUGCCCAACAGCAGCUGGGCCAAAUAUCCAGUUAAAAAAAUAUGGCUGUGUACAGAUUCCUACGCCAAAGCUGUGGACCGGUGUCGGCUGAUAGACACGUCCAGCAUCCAGACAGAAGAUGAAGCAAGUGUCCAAAAAAGGCAGCGCCGACGCCCAAGGAGGUUUAUGACAGAUUCUUCAAGCGAUGCUCAGCAGAUAUCACUUCCUCCACCACCUGCAUGAAACCAGCUGGUUGCCCAGAGCGGGAUGAGUCUUUAGUGACCCUACCACGGACUGCCACUUCAUCUUGGGACCCAGUUAAAGAAGAACUCACACAGAGGGAGGUGGCUCAGACAUGGAGAUCAAAAUGAGAGCAAUUUUUCCGGUCAACCUUCGGUGGUUGUACUGGAGGUGAUGCCAUCCGCCGCAUGCUGCUGAUACAGUCCAGCCUGCGGGGAAGAAAGACAAAGAAAGCCUCCCAGGACCUGGCUGUAUGCAGGGUUAUAACAGGCAGGUUUUAUU